rnacentral:rRNA from 1 species
ACACCGGCAGCUCAAGUGGUGGCCGUUUUUAUUGGGCCUAAAGCGUUCGUAGCCGGUUUGAUAAGUCUCUGGUGAAAUUUCACGGCUUAACCGUGAGAAUUGCUGGAGAUACUAUUAGGCUUGAGGCCGGGAGAGGCUGGAGGUACUCCCAGGGUAGGGGUGAAAUCCUAUAAUCCUGGAAGGACCACCUGUGGCGAAGGCGUCCAGCUGGAACGGACCUGACGGUGAGUAACGAAAGCCAGGGGCGC